CGACGAAGUACGGGACGGGACGACGCACAGACGACGUACGACAAUACGAGUGGUGGCGACCGGCGCACGGGUGAGUAACACGUAUGCAACCUACCUUCCACAGGAGGAUAACCCGUUGAAAGACGGGCUAAUACUCCAUAACACAGGGGUCCCGCAUGGGAAUAUUUGUUAAAGAUUUUUUCGGUAGAAGAUGGGCAUGCGUUCCAUUAGCUAGUUGGUUGAGGUAACGGCUCACCAAGGCAACGAUGGAUAGGGGAACUGAGAGGUUUAUCCCCCACACUGGUACUGAGACACGGACCAGACUCCUACGGGAGGCAGCAGUGAGGAAUAUUGGUCAAUGGAGGCAACUCUGAACCAGCCACGUCGCGUGAAGGAUGACGGCCCUACGGGUUGUAAACUUCUUUUAUACAGGAAUAAAGUGAGUCACGUGUGAUUUUUUGCAUGUACUGUAUGAAUAAGGAUCGGCUAACUCCGUGCCAGCCGCAGC
rnacentral:rRNA from 1 species